rnacentral:lncRNA from 1 species
CAAUUGCAUAAUGGAUUAAUCUACUACAUAAAAAAGGUUUUUUAAUAGUGGAGGAAAAUUAAAAAAUCAAUUAUACGAUUCAUCUGCGAUUUUGUGACUUGAUUUCUCCGGCUUGAACCAGAUUUCUCCGUUAUAUAAAGGGUAAUUCUCCUAAAUAGACUAUUUUCAAGUUUUGAUCACAAAAAUAAACCACAAGAAGGAAAAUGACCAAAAUGUUUCAUUUAAUAAGUAAAAAGACUCUAAUACUCUAGAUAUAUAAAAAAAUUUAAAAACAAAAUUAAAAAUUAAAAAAGGGCAAAUCUCCAAAAUAGCACAUUUCUAAGUUUAUAUCACAAAAAUAACACUCAAAAACUAAAAUGACCAAAAUAACGUUUUAUCUUUUGAAAAUUUUAAUUUUUUUUAUUUUUCAAAAUUUGAAAUCUUAUCCCCAAAACUUCAUUUCUCAACUCUAAACCCUAAACCCUAAACUCUAAACCCUAAACCCUAAACCCUAAACCCUAAACCAAUUAAAAAAGGGCAAAUCUCCAAAAUAGCACAUUUCUAAGUUUAUAUCACAAAAAUAACACUCAAAAACUAAAAUGACCAAAAUAACGUUUUAUCUUUUGAAAAUUUUAAUUUUUUUUAUUUUUCAAAAUUUGAAAUCUUAUCCCCAAACCCUAAACCCUAAACUCUAAACCCUAAACCCUAAACUCUAAACCCUAAAUCCUAAACCCUAAACCCUAAACCCCACCCUUUAACUCUAAACCCUAAGUUUGUGACUUUUGAUAAAACAUUAAGUGCUAUUUUUGUGACUUUUGACCUC